AUUCUGGAUUUAUUAUAAAAUAUUAAGAAGAUUUCGCUAAUAUAACUAAGAUUUAAAUUUUACUUAUUUUUUUAAGCAAACUAGUGCAAUUACUAAGCUUAAUUUGAGAAACCAGUUAAGCUAAUAAAAUUGAGGAAAGAUGGCUUCACGUUUAUUUUAAGAAAAUUCACUCAAUUAUGUGGAUUUGAUUGAGAUGUUUGCAUUUGAAUCUCAACAACGGCAGUGAUCAGACGACAUUUUGAAGGAGCAGAUCAACAGCGAGCAUGUUAAGAGUUUAAUGAAGAAAACUUUCGCAGUGUUUUCCCACUAAAGAGGAGCAGUUUAUUGAGGCAGAUUUUGAUAAAGAGAAUGGGUGCCAUACAUCAGACCUCACAUUAAAUCAGGGAUGAAACGAGAGAUGUCGUCCUCUGUUGCUGGUCUAUCUGUAUGAAUAAGAGGAAGAGCUCAUCCAGGAGUGCAAUUGUGGGAAUGCACAGAGAAUUGCUGUCUGUCAGAGGGAUGACCAACCAUGAGGACUUCUGCAUUGUCUUGGAGGAUAAGUGAGUUAUGGCUAGCCUGGAAAAUCUAGAAUCGCUGAACUGGAUUUAUACAAAUAUUCCACAAAUUAAAAUCACUUACAAAGAAAUGAAUAUUAAGUUUGCAAUACACA